CCCUUAGAGUUUGAUCCUGGCUCAGAAUGAACGCUGGCGGCGUGCUUUACACAUGCAAGUCGAGCGAGGCGGCCCGCAAGGGCCAGUCGAGCGGCGAACGGGUGAGUAACACGUGGAUUAUCUACCCUGAGGUGGGGGAUAACCCGGGGAAACUCGGGCUAAUACCGCAUAUGACCGUGAGGUCAAAGGGGGGUCGCAAGAUCUCUCGCCAUAGGAGGAGUCCGCGUCCGAUUAGCUAGUUGGUAGGGUAAUGGCCUACCAAGGCGACGAUCGGUAGCCGGCCUGAGAGGGUGAUCGGCCACACUGGAACUGAGACACGGUCCAGACUCCUACGGGAGGCAGCAGUGGGGAAUUUUGCGCAAUGGGCUAACGCCUGACGCAGCAACGCCGCGUGGAGGAUGAAGGUCUUUGGAUUGUAAACUCCUGUCAGCAGGGAAAAAGCGACCUGACCUCAUACGUCAGGGAGUUGAUUGUACCUGCAGAGGAAGCCCCGGCUAACUCUGUGCCAGCAGCCGCGGUAAUACAGAGGGGGCAAGCGUUAUUCGGAAUUAGUGGGCGUAAAGGGCGCGUAGGCG
rnacentral:rRNA from 1 species